CCAAAACACAAAAAACAGAGAGAGUUCUCUUGGGGUCAGCAGUUUUCCUCCCUCAAUAGCACACUUAGCAUUUUGCCCACAAACCCAGCAAUGAACUUCGUGGAAGUUAUCACAGACCAAAAAUCGAAGCUACAAAAAAUCACAAAGACGAUUUCAUCAAUGGGCAAAAAAAUCGCAAACCAACGUAUCAUCCUAACUGUCCAGAAAUGUUGAAGGGCAAAAAGGGAGGGCAAAAAGCGUAACCUCUUGCCAAGGAAAAAGUG